rnacentral:rRNA from 1 species
UACGUAGGUGACCAGCGUUGUCCGGAUUUACUGGGCGUAAAGAGCGCGCAGGCGGUCGUUCAAGUCGAGUGUGAAAGCCCCCGGCUCAACUGGGGAGGGUCAUUCGAUACUGAUCGACUGGAAGGCAGGAGAGGGAAGCGGAAUUCCCGGUGUAGUGGUGAAAUGCGUAGAUAUCAGGAGGAACACCAAAGGCGAAGGCAGCUUCCUGGCCCAAUUCUGACGCUGAGGUGCGAAAGCGUGGGUAGCGAACGGG